rnacentral:rRNA from 1 species
CCUACGUGAGUCUGCAGUCGAGAAUCAUUCACAAUGGGGGAAACCCUGAUGGUGCGACGCCGCGUGGGGGAAUGAAGGUCUUCGGAUUGUAAACCCCUGUCAUGUGGGAGCAAAUUAAAAAGAUAGUACCACACGAGGAAGAGACGGCUAACUCUGUGCAAGCAGCCGCGGUAAUACAGAGGUCUCAAGCGUUGUUCGGAAUCACUGGGCGUAAAGCGUGCGUAGGCUGUUUCGUAAGUCGUGUGUGAAAGGCGCGGGCUCAACCCGCGGACGGCACAUGAUACUGCGGGACUAGAGUAAGGGAGGGGGAACCGGAAUUCGCGGUGUAGCAGUGAAAUGCGUAGAUAUCGAGAGGAACACUCGUGGCGAAGGCGGGUUCCUGGACAUUAACUGACGCUGAGGAACGAAGGCCAGGGGAGCGAAAGGGAUUAGAUACCCUGGUAGUC